rnacentral:tRNA from 1 species
GUGGGUGUAGCUCAGUGGUAGUGUGCAUACUCUGUGUGUAUGAUGUCCUGGGUUCAAUCCCCAGCUUCUCCU